UGGAUGACUGAAGGCAGGCCUGGAUAAUA
rnacentral:piRNA from 1 species